GAUCAUUAUUGUUCUGUGUCCAGCGCUUAACUGCGCGGACGCUCCUUCUACACAGUGAAUACUUUACUGGAUUGCUUUGCCUGGCUUGCCAGGCAGAGACUAAACACAAGAUUUAUUCUUUCUACAACCACAGUCAAACAACGAACUAAUAAUUCAAAACUUUCAACAACGGAUCUCUUGGUUCUCGCAACGAUGAAGAACGCAGCGAAUUGCGAUACGUAUUGUGAAUUGCAGAUUUUCGUGAAUCAUCGAAUCUUUGAACGCACAUUGCACCCUCUGGUAUUCCGGAGGGUAUGCCUGUUUGAGCGUCAUUUCUCUCUCAAAGCUUCGGUUUUGGUAUUGAGUGGUGCUCUGCUCGCAGGGCUAACUUGAAAUAGCUGUGGCCAGGGACCGCCUAGUGUGAGUCCUGCGUAAUGUAUUAGGUUCUGCCAACUCAUUGCUCCCAGGACUCCCCAGCACCAGGAGGACCCCCGGCCUAACAACACCUAUAAAGUUUGACCUCAAAUCAGGUAGGACUACCCGCUGAACUUAAGCAUAUCA
rnacentral:misc_RNA from 1 species